UAGGGAAUCUUGCGCAAUGGGCGAAAGCCUGACGCAGCGACGCCGCGUGGACGAUGAAGUUCUUCGGAAUGUAAAGUCCUGUCAGGAGGGAAGAAACCUUUGCAUGUUAAAUGCAAAGCUGACGGUACCUUCAGAGGAAGCUACGGCUAACUUCGUGCCAGCAGCCGCGGUAAUACGGGGGUAGCGAGUGUUGUUCGGAUUUACUGGGCGUAAAGGGAGCGCAGGCGGUAAUGUAAGUCAGAAGUGAAAGUUUGGGGCUUAACCCCAAAUCUGCUUUUGAUACUGCAUAACUAGAGUAUGCAAGAGGAGGAUGGAAUUCUAGGUGUAGCGGUGGAAUGUGUAGAUAUCUAGAAGAACACCGAUUGCGAAGGCAGUCCUCUGGUGCAAUACUGACGCUCAGGCUCGAAAGAUAGGGGAGCAAACAGG
rnacentral:rRNA from 1 species